UGGCAAGCCUCCAGCGUGCUUGGGUCUGGGGUGACCCUGUGCAUUCCUACAGUGCUUGCAAGAACAGUUUCGAAAUGGUUUGAGGCCUUGCUCUGCUCUAUCUACGGAGCAAGGUUAUAGAAAUUUCACACAUCU
ensembl:snoRNA